rnacentral:rRNA from 1 species
UACGAAGGGGGCUAGCGUUGCUCGGAAUUACUGGGCGUAAAGGGCGCGUAGGCGGAUACUUAAGUCGGGGGUGAAAGCCCGGGGCUCAACCUCGGAAUUGCCUUCGAUACUGGGUAUCUUGAGUUCGGGAGAGGUGAGUGAAAUGCCGAGUGUAGAGGUGAAAUUCGUAGAUAUUCGGCGGAACACCAGUGGCGAAGGCGACUCACUGGCCCGAUACUGACGCUGAUGCGCGAAAGCGUGGGGAGCAAACAGG